UCACAACAAAGCAAGGGCAAGCUCAAUCCUUUCUGAUACACUGAAGGACAGGCAGAAGACGGAUACUGGAGCCUGGUAUUUCAGAACAAAUGACAACUCUUACAAAGUGCUGUAGCUCUGAAAUGCUCAAGAAAAUAUGAAAGGACGCCCAGAUUCUCCUAUCCCAGGUUGGCUCUCACUUCAAACCAGAGGAAGGCAAAAAAAAAAAAAAAA